CACGUAGGGCGCAAGCGUUGUCCGGAAUUAUUGGGCGUAAAGAGCUCGUAGGCGGUCUGUUACGUCUGCUGUGAAAUCGCUCGGCUCAACUGGGCGGGGUCAGCGGAUACGGCGUGGCUGGAGCAAGCUAGGGGGCAAUGGAAUUCCCGGUGUAGUGGUGGAAUGCGUAGAUAUCGGGAGGAACACCAGUGGCGAAGGCGGUUGCCUGGAGCUUUGCUGACGCUGAGGCGCGAAAGCGUGGGGAGCGAUCCGG
rnacentral:rRNA from 1 species